rnacentral:rRNA from 1 species
UUUGUGGAGAGUUUGAUCCUGGCUCAGGACGAACGCUGGCGGCGUGCUUAACACAUGCAAGUCGAACGGAAAGGCCUCAGCUUGCUGGGGUACUCGAGUGGCGAACGGGUGAGUAACACGUGGGUGAUCUGCCUUGCACUCUGGGAUAAGCUUGGGAAACUGGGUCUAAUACCGGAUAUGAACUGCCUUUAGUGUGGUGGUUGGAAAGUUUUUUCGGUGCAAGAUGAGCUCGCGGCCUAUCAGCUUGUUGGUGGGGUAAUGGCCUACCAAGGCGUCGACGGGUAGCCGGCCUGAGAGGGUGUACGGCCACAUUGGGACUGAGAUACGGCCCAGACUCCUACGGGAGGCAGCAGUGGGGAAUAUUGCACAAUGGGCGGAAGCCUGAUGCAGCGACGCCGCGUGGGGGAUGACGGCCUUCGGGUUGUAAACUCCUUUCGACAGGGACGAAGCGUUAUGUGACGGUACCUGUAUAAGAAGCACCGGCUAACUACGUGCCAGCAGCCGCGGUAAUACGUAGGGUGCGAGCGUUGUCCGGAAUUACUGGGCGUAAAGAGCUCGUAGGUGGUUUGUCGCGUCGUCUGUGAAAUUCCGGGGCUUAACUUCGGGCGUGCAGGCGAUACGGGCAUAACUUGAGUGCUGUAGGGGAGACUGGAAUUCCUGGUGUAGCGGUGAAAUGCGCAGAUAUCAGGAGGAACACCGAUGGCGAAGGCAGGUCUCUGGGCAGUUACUGACGCUGAGGAGCGAAAGCAUGGGUAGCAAACAGGAUUAGAUACCCUGGUAGUCCAUGCCGUAAACGGUGGGCGCUAGGUGUAGGGGGCUUCCACGUCUUCUGUGCCGUAGCUAACGCAUUAAGCGCCCCGCCUGGGGAGUACGGCCGCAAGGCUAAAACUCAAAGGAAUUGACGGGGGCCCGCUGGGGUUGCCCGCAAAUCGUGGACACGUAGUGGAGCUACCUAGUGGUUAGGCAGCUAUUUCUUUUCUGCU